GAUGAACGCUGGCGGCGUGCCUAAUACCUGCAAGUCGAGCGAACGGACGAGAAGCUUGCUUCUCUGAUGUUAGCGGCGGACGGGUGAGUAACACGUGGAUAACCUACCUAUAAGACUGGGAUAACUUCGGGAAACCGGAGCUAAUACCGGAUAAUAUUUUGAACCGCAUGGUUCAAAAGUGAAAGACGGUCUUGCUGUCACUUAUAGAUGGAUCCGCGCUGCAUUAGCUAGUUGGUAAGGUAACGGCUUACCAAGGCAACGAUGCAUAGCCGACCUGAGAGGGUGAUCGGCCACACUGGAACUGAGACACGGUCCAGACUCCUACGGGAGGCAGCAGUAGGGAAUCUUACGCGAUGGGCGAAAGCCUGACGGAGCAACGCCGCGGGAGUGAUGAAGGUCUUCGGAUCGUAAAACUCUGUUAUUAGGGAAGAACAUAUGUGUAAGUAACUGUGCACAUCUUGACGGUACCUAAUCAGAAAGCCACGGCUAACUACGUG
rnacentral:rRNA from 1 species